rnacentral:tRNA from 1 species
ACUUAGAUAGCUUAAGAUUAGAGCACAAUAUUGAAGAUAUUGGGGUAAUAGUUAUUAUUUUUAAGUG